GCGGCGAACGAGUCAGUAACACCCUAGUCACCUACCCCUAAGAUGAGCAUAAUCUGCCGAAAGGCAGACUAAUUUUCAAUGGUCUCGCAAGAGUAAAGAUUUGGCGCAAGUCAAGUCGCUUAGGGAGGGGCUUAGGUCCUAUCAGUUUGUUGGUGAGGUAAUGGCUCACCAAGGCGACGACGGGUAGGGGGCGCGAGAGCGUGAUCCCCGACGACGGAACUGAGACACGGUCCGUACACCCACGGGUGGCCGCAGUCGAGAAUAUUCCACAAUGGACGAAAGUCUGAUGGAGCGACGCCGCGUGCAGGAAGAAGCUCUUCGGAGUAUAAACUGCUUUUCUUUGGGAGAAAGUCACGUUUACGUGAUUGAUAGUACCAGAGGAAUAAGGAGUUGCUAACCUCGUGCCAGCAGCAGCGGUAAUACGAGGACUCCAAGCGUUGUCCGGAUUUAUUGGGCGUAAAGAGCGUGAAGGUGGCUCGGUGCGUCUUGUCUUAAAUCUCUAGGCUUAACCUAGAGGCUGGGCAAGAUACGAUCGAGCUAGAGGGCGUUAGAGGUCAUUGGAACUCAUAGUGUAGGGGUGAAAUCCGUUGAUAUUAUGAGGAACACCAAAGGCGAAGGCAUUUGACUGGGACGCUCCUGACACUCAAGCGCGAAAGCGUGGGUAGCGAACGGGAUUAGAUACCCCGGUAGUCCACGCCGUAAAUGAUGUU
rnacentral:rRNA from 1 species